ensembl:lncRNA
GGCGAACAGAUGGCAGCUCCCGGCGGCACUGCUCCUCCGGCCAGCUGCGCAACUCCUCCAGGGUGCUCUAGCCUUCCUCGGACAUGCGGCCACCUGAGACGCCAACUUCAAACCACUCUCACCUCAGCCAGGACCGGAAGUCCAGCCAUCCCGGCAAGCCUUGCGAGACCUCAUCUGGACUGAAUCCUAGAGAGGACGCGGCCUAGGCUCCAUGGCGGCCAAGAGGGAAACCGGGCCUAUCUGGUUCCCGGGAGGAAUCCACUCAGUGAUGCGCACUUCCUGAAGCAGAGGACUUCAGAACUCUCCAGACCACUUGCCUCCCAAGCCUGGGUUGCUGCAGACUUUCCAUUAUCUGGCGCUUGGGGAAGGGUCAAAUAAAAGAGAAUCAAAGACCUCUAAAAAAAGUCUUUGGAAACAUCUCUAAGUGUUCAUAGUGGUGUAUAAGCAGCCAAAGAGAAAUUCACCUCAGUGGAACUAAUUGAAUAAUUGAGCAGUGUAUAUGAGUACCAGUUGCUCCAUAUCCUUGCCAGAACUUGAAACGGAAAUAUUGGAGAAAAGUCUAAGAAAAUAGCUUGAAUUCUGGAAGAAAACUGGAAAUUGUUGAAAAAUAAUAAACACAUGCGGUCUCCUAAAAGCUGGUACUUUUUGAAGAACAUGGCGAGGUGUCCUCCUACUGAAAUGGUGUGACAUUUUUUCAUGGAAAAAUAAUCUUCUAUUUAAUGAUGCCAUCAUCACCACCAUCAUCACCAUCACCAUCAUCUCCAUCAUCAUCACCAUCACCAUCAUCACCCACAUCAUCAUCACCAUCAUCUUCAUCAUUACCAUCAUCAUCACCAUCACCAUCAUCAUAUUCAUCAUCAUCGACAUCAUCACCAUCAUCACCAUCACCACCAUCAUCUUCAUCAUCACCAUCAUCAUCACCAUCACCAUCAUCAUCACCAUCACCAUCAUCAUCACCAUCACCAUCAUCUUCAUCAUCAGCAUCAUCAUCAUCAUCACCAUCAUCAUCAUCACCAUCUUCAUCAUCAUCACCAUCACCUUCAUCAUCAUCACCAUCACCAUCAUCAUCUUCAUCAUCACCAUCACCAUCAUCAUCUUCAUCAUCAUCAUCACCAUCAUCAUCUCACCAUCACCAUCAUCACCAUCAUCUUCAUCACCAUCAUCACCAUCAUCACCAUCAUCACCAUCAUCAACAUCAUCAUCAUCACCAUCAUCAUCAUCAUCAUCACUGUUAUAACAACUACUAUACACCAGGCAUUAUUAUGGAUUAUCAUCACCUAUCUUCAUAAUAACAUCAUUACUCCUAUUUUACCAUGAAGGACACCAAGGUGCCUGUCCAAGGGUGGGAGCCCAGGAAUGGCUCACCCCACAAGCCUAACUUGACCUUCUGUCCUGUGCUCUCUCCAGGACCAUCUCAAAGCCAGGCAACAUAUGGCAAGUGUUGUAAGCAUGAUACCCCAAGGUGGUUUAAUGAAUACCCCGGAGAAAGAACUCACAUUUAUUGGUAGGUACUGCACACCAUGAUGCAUGUGCUUUUAAAGUUUAAACUUCACCUUUAGUAAGGUCUAUAUUAUCAUCCCACUCCACCUUCAGUGUCCUCAUGUACCAAGAAGGGAGAGCAAAAUUCCCCAUUUCACAGGGUGAGCAUGAUGGAAUAAAGUAGAAAAUGUAAAGUAACACACAGGGCUUGGCAGUAGUGCUCAUUAAAUGUUAGCUACUAUUAUUUUCUCCAUCAUUUAAAAAAUUUUUGUCAAAAAUUAUACAUUUAUGAUAUAUGCUAUGAUGUUUUGAUAUAUGUGCAGAUUGUGGAAUGGAUAAGUAAGCUAUUUAGCAUAGUUUACUCCCUCUUAUACUUUUUUGUGGUGAGAACUUUUAAAAUGUAUUGUCUUGGCAAAUUUCAUGGGUACAAUGUAUUCUUAUUUAAAGCUGAGAAAUCUGAG